CAAGAUGGAUCACGGAUGAACGUACCAUACAAAACAUUGAAUAAUGGCAUUCACACUUUUGAAGUUGUCAUGUCUAACUGCCUUUUUUCAAGUAAUAAAAGGAUCACAAAGCUCUGAUGAAUGAGCUGCUCGGACACUUUGAGAUAUUUUAAGAUUGUUCAGCAAGGAUAUAACAGGUGCAAGGAUUUUGACUUAUAUCCUUCACUAAUUCAACAAAUAUUGACUGAGCACUCAGUCUAUGCCAGGCGCUAUUCUGGGAUUUGAGAAGAAAGUAUUGAAUAAGAAAGGUCUCUCUUGGGAAGAGCUUGGAGAGAUGUCCUGCGCGAGGCCAGGCGUGAGGAGACAGCGCCAGAAACAUAAUUAGAUCAAUGCUUUAAGUGAAAACCCGCGCGCCACUUCAGUCCGCCUCGAAUCAGUGUCAGCGUAAAGAGGGAUUGGGAAGUACGAUUCCGCUAAGAAAAGAAGCCAGUGGCCAUAGUAGGAGGAUACUGAAGCAGCCCUCUGUGGAGCCCAUGUGGUGAGGCACUGAGGCCACCUGCCAACAGCCAUGUGAGUGAGCUGUCUGGAAAUGGAUACGGUGGCUCUCAGUCAGACCAUCGGAUGAGCGCGACCCCAGAUGCCCUCCUGACUGCGACUUCAUGGCAAAUUCUGAGCCAGAGCCACCCGAAUAAGCUGCUUGUGAUAGCCUGACCUGCAGAAACAUGCUACACUUGUGAUUUAAGCUCAGGGAUGUGAAAUUCAAGUUUGGAGAAAUAGAAGACUAUGAAAGUUGAUAAUUCUUGAUAGGAAGACCCACGAUCUAACAAAGACAAAAACAAAACAAAACUGAAGACUGUGGCAGGAUGAAUAAUGGCCCUUCAAAAAUGUCCACGUCCUAAUCCUGGAACCUGUCUUGUAUGGCAAAAGGAACUUUGCAGAUGUGAUUAAGUUAAGGUUCUCAAAAUGGAGCAUUCUGGUGGCCCAAUGUAACCACAAGAGUUGUUAUAAGAACGAGCCAGGAGGGUUGGAGUCAGAGACAAGGCCAUGCAAUGAUGGAAACAGAGGUAAAAAGGGUGAUGUGAUGUAGGACAAAGAUCCAAGGAAUGUGGACAGCCUCUAGAAACUGGAAAUGGCAAGGAAUUGAUUGUUCCCGAGUGUCCAGAAGGAAUGCAGCCCUGCAAACACCCUAAAUUUUAGCCCAGUGAGACUGAUUUUGGCUUCUGAUCUAUAGAAGUAUAUGAUAAGAAAUUUGUGUUGAUUUAAACCACCAUAGUUAGUGGUAAUUUCAUGUAGCAGCAAUAGUCCCCAAAUAUGUGACUGUAUUAAUGUGUAGUGAAUGAUAUCAUCCCCCAAAUAAUAAAACAAUAUCAGACCUAGAAGAUUUUGUAUCAUUUUAAAGAGUCCACGUCUUUGUUAUUAGGGAAAUAGCUAAACUGUAUUAAACACGUCUUUUUUUUCCCCCGUAU